ACGGGUGAGUAACACGUAGGCAACCUGCCCUCAAGCUUGGGACAACUACCGGAAACGGUAGCUAAUACCGAAUACUUGUUUUCUUCGCCUGAAGGAAACUGGAAAGACGGAGCAAUCUGUCACUUGAGGAUGGGCCUGCGGCGCAUUAGCUAGUUGGUGAGGUAACGGCUCACCAAGGCGACGAUGCGUAGCCGACCUGAGAGGGUGAUCGGCCACACUGGGACUGAGACACGGCCCAGACUCCUACGGGAGGCAGCAGUAGGGAAUCUUCCGCAAUGGGCGAAAGCCUGACGGAGCAAUGCCGCGUGAGUGAUGAAGGUUUUCGGAUCGUAAAGCUCUGUUGCCAGGGAAGAACGCUUAGGAGAGUAACUGCUCCUGAGGUGACGGUACCUGAGAAGAAAGCCCCGGCUAACUACGUGCCAGCAGCCGCGGUAAUACGUAGGGGGCAAGCGUUGUCCGGAAUUAUUGGGCGUAAAGCGCGCGCAGGCGGUCAUUUAAGUCUGGUGUUUAAUCCCGGGGCUCAACCCCGGAUCGCACUGGAAACUGGGUGACUUGAGUGCAGAAGAGGAGAGUG
rnacentral:rRNA from 1 species